ensembl:lncRNA
ACCGCUUUAAGAUGAAUUGAUUCAUAAAGUGAUUCAUAUCCGACAUAUCACACAGAAACUCAAUUUUGUAAUUUGUAAACCGUUUUGGUAGCAUAUUGUAGAAGAACAUAUUGUACAACAUAUUGUACCAGUUAUUUCGCAUUGCUUUCGGUUUUAGUUUUGCAAAAGCCACUUCCUGUAGAUUUUCACACAUUAAAAGUCAGAGGCUUCAAGUACAUUUGCAUACUUCUUCCUUUUUAUUGAGUCCACAGUUUGCUUCUUGUGAGGUGACUUUUGUCUCUUGAGCCAAGUGCAUCACACUGCACAUUAAGGGGAUCCUUUGCUGUGAAAGUGCCUGGGCCUGAUAUACUAUCCUGUGACAGCAGUUCUUCAAGUGUUGAGCCUGCCUGUGGUCAAGUGGGUGUUGAACUGUCGCUCUGCUCAGGAUUGCAGUCUCUUCACAUGCAGUAAAUUUUGCUUCUUGUGAGGUGACUUUUGUCUCUUGAGCCAAGUGCAUCACACUGCACAUUAAGGGGAUCCUUUGCUGUGAAAGUGCCUGGGCCUGAUAUACUAUUGAACACAGCAGAAGAAGCUAUGUCUGAAGCAAGGUUAAUGUUUAGGGUUUAUACAAGAGAGGCAAUAUUUCUUAUUUUUGGUCUGUGUGCUGGCAUACCAGCUCUGGCUUGGGCUCUCCGUGUGUUGUUGCUACACGUCCGUGGUGGCGGCAGAGUCUCCAUCUUCAUCAUCUUCCUCCUACUCAGUGGAGCUGUGGAGUUUUUCCUCAUUCCAUUCAUAGUGACAUUACAAAUUAGGUAUGAAUUUCCAAGAUUUGCUAUUCUUGCAUUUACUGGGACAAGGCUAUGUGGUUUGUGUUUCCACCAGCUGGUGGCGCUAGAGAGUAUUCUGUCUCUCAGACAUCCUCACUGCUUCACUCGCCUCUCCUCUCUUCUUUGCUCCAUUACAAUCUGUUUUGCCAUCUGCAUCUGCACCGUGUUUCACUCAAUCAGUCCAUUGCUCCUUUUAGUCAUUGCUGGGGUCCUGUUGGAAGUGGCUGUUGCUGCAUCAGUCCUUACAUGUGUGCUAACUGCUACAGCAUCAUGUUCCAGUGGG